rnacentral:rRNA from 1 species
AGUGAACGCUGGCGGCGUGCUUUACACAUGCAAGUCGAACGAGAACGGGUUAUAGCUUGCUAUAAUUGUCAGCUAAGUGGCGCACGGGUGAGUAAUGUAUAGGUAAUAUGCCUCUUACUAAGGGAUAUCAAAUGGAAACGUUUGCUAAUACCUUAUACUCCUUAUUAACAGAAGUUAAUAAGGGAAAGAUUUAUUGGUAAGAGAUUAGCCUGUAUUGUAUCAGUUAGUUGGUGGGGUAAUGGCUUACCAAGACUAUGACACAUAACUGGUUUGAGAGGAUGAUCAGUCACACUGGAACUGAGACACGGUCCAGACUCCUACGGGAGGCAGCAGUGGGGAAUAUUGCACAAUGGACGAAAGUCUGAUGCAGCAACGCCGCGUGGAGGAUGACACAUUUCGGUGCGUAAACUCCUUUUAUAUGAGAAGAUAAUGACGGUAUUAUAUGAAUAAGCACCGGCUAACUCCGUGCCAGCAGCCGCAGUAA